rnacentral:rRNA from 1 species
AUGGCGCACAGGGUCCUGGAGUUGACGCUCGUGUCGGCGAGCAACCUGCCGGACGUGAACCUGUUCAGCGGCAUGCAGGUGUACGCCGUGGCGUCCGUCUACGGCGACCCUCGCACGCGGCAGCGGACCCUCACCGACCGCGACGGCGAGACGGACCCGGCGUGGAACCACACGGUCUGGUUCGCCGUCUCGCCCACGGCCGCCGCUGCAGGGCGCGCCUACCUCCACGUGCUCCUCCGUACCGAGCGCUACUUCGCCGGCUCGUUCGGCUUCGACGACCGCGACGUCGGCGAGGUGUUCAUCCCCGUCGCCGACCUGCUCGCGGGCGCCUGCGCUGCCGGAGGAGGCACCCCGUGGCGGUGCGCGUCGUACCCGGUCCGGAAGGCGCAGAGCAGCAGGCACCGCGGCACGCUCAGCAUUGCGUACCGCCUCGGCGCCGUGGUGGCGCCGCUGCUGCCCCCCUCGGAACCCGAUUGCCAGGAGGUCAUGCCGCCGUGCCGGCCGGCGCGGAGGAAUUUCAAUUGGAACGGUCGCUUCACGCUGGGGCUCGGCUCGGGGCUGCUCGGCGGAAGCUUCGCGGGUACAGCGGCAUAUAGAUCCGGGUAG